CACAAGGGGACCUUCCCUAAUUUCUCUUCAGCAGCGACGCACUUCCCUCUUGCUUCUCCAUUCCUUCUAUGCACUUACCUCUUGCUCCUCCAUUCCUUCUACUUCUCAAAACAUAUCAGAAAAACCCUCCCAAAAAAUUAGAGACCGAGCAGCUAAAACAAGCGAAGAACAGACCCCUCCUCCCUCCCGCCGUUCCUUCUUCUUUUGACUAGCUUCAUCAACCUGCGCAAAAAAAGGGAGGAAGACACACGCACACACACACGUGCGUCAUUUCAACAGUUAUGUUGUGAGCUGCCGAGUUGAGUAAUUGUUGAAGCUGCUGCUGAAGUUUAGCUCGAUACCGUUAGCUGCUGUUACCUUUUGCUCAUUUUCUCUAUUUCAAGGUACUAUUCACCCACUCAACUAUGUAAUUUUCACUAUCAAAUGAAUCUAAUGAUAUAGUUUUGAGCAUGUGAAAUUAUGUGUUGUUCUCGUUGGCUAAUUUAUGUUAUCAUUAAUUCUGCUAUGCCGUGAUUUCAUUGGAGUGUGAAAGAGUUCAUAGACCUGACCAUUAAUUGUCAGAUAUGUAAAUUUUAAGACCAAAAAUUUUUCUAUCCUCUUCUGGUAAUUAAUGUUUCAAUAAGAGCAUGACCAGGACAUAAUUAAUUAA